rnacentral:lncRNA from 1 species
CCUUGACAAUAUCAUGUUACUUCACAAAUAAAGCCAAAUAAACAAAUCUACCGUUGCAUGUUGCAGGUGAAAUGUGUCCUGAUCCUGCAUCUUAUCAGUGCAGCACUUGCCACAGCUGCCCUGGGACUGAUGUCCAAACACCUCCCCUACCGCCAGGACUCCUACCAUUGUGAACACUGUCGGAGGCUGGAGCUACAUGCUGUGCAAAAUUGUUUCAGGAAAUGCACCAGGCUGAUCGAGCAAAAGUGUACACUGUUGAUCGAUGGAAUUCUGGGGACACUGGUGAUCUUCCUGGUGCUAGAGCUCUUGAUCUGCAUCACUGCCAUGCUGUUUGGGCUCAGUGUCCUAGCUGCCGGUGGAAACCAGGCUUCAAGUCACAGACCUGUUUAUCCACCAACCCGUCCUCCACCUGUUCCAGCUGCGCAAGCUGUUCAGGCUGCUCCUGCUGCAGUGGAGCCAUCUCAGGUGGCUGUAGUUGUUACCAAACCUGAUUCAGAGGAGGUGGAGGACAUCACCACCCCACCCACUGAACCCCAGGUGGAGCCAAUAGAAACUGUGGCCACAGAACCCUAAACACAACAACACUGCACUGCACACUGUGGAGUCUUGUGAUGUCAGCCAUAGUAACAAUAUACCUGUAAUUAGAGCUAAAUCUGCUGAAGGAAGCAGCAUUAAGAAAUAUAAAUACACACUUUGUAAAAUACUUUAAAAUUUCUGGCAUGACUUGAACAAAGUAUCACUAUACGCACCACUGUACCUUCAGUAUGUUGCUGUGGUAUUAUUAGAAAUAUUAUGUGCAUUUAUUCUCCAGGUAAGUGGAGUAAAGUCUUUUAAUCUCUCUUAUCAUGAUUGACUGUUGUCAACAUUCUGUUGAUCCUGUUUGGUUACAAAAACAGUAUUAGAGAAUAAAGUCUGCUGUUGAUGUCCA